rnacentral:rRNA from 1 species
AGAGUUUGAUCCUGGCUCAGGACGAACGCUGGCGGCACGCUUAACACAUGCAAGUCGAACGAGAGAAGAGAAGCUUGCUUUUCUGAUCUAGUGGCGGACGGGUGAGUAACACGUGAGCAAUCUGCCUUUCAGAGGGGGAUACCGAUUGGAAACGAUCGUUAAUACCGCAUAACAUAAUUGAACCGCAUGAUUUGAUUAUCAAAGAUUUAUCGCUGAAAGAUGAGCUCGCGUCUGAUUAGCUAGUUGGUAAGGUAACGGCUUACCAAGGCGACGAUCAGUAGCCGGACUGAGAGGUUGAUCGGCCACAUUGGGACUGAGACACGGCCCAGACUCCUACGGGAGGCAGCAGUGGGGAAUAUUGCACAAUGGAGGAAACUCUGAUGCAGCGAUGCCGCGUGAGGGAAGAAGGUUUUAGGAUUGUAAACCUCUGUCUUCGGGGACGAAAAAAGACGGUACCUGAGGAGGAAGCUCCGGCUAACUACGUGCCAGCAGCCGCGGUAAUACGUAGGGAGCGAGCGUUGUCCGGAAUUACUGGGUGUAAAGGGAGCGUAGGCGGGAUCGCAAGUCAGAUGUGAAAACUAUGGGCUUAACCCAUAAACUGCAUUUGAAACUGUGGUUCUUGAGUGAAGUAGAGGUAAGCGGAAUUCCUAGUGUAGCGGUGAAAUGCGUAGAUAUUAGGAGGAACAUCAGUGGCGAAGGCGGCUUACUGGGCUUUAACUGACGCUGAGGCUCGAAAGCGUGGGGAGCAAACAGGAUUAGAUACCCUGGUAGUCCACGCCGUAAACG